GGGGGCGUACCGGUUUCGACGGGGGUAGUGAGGCAGGAUAAGCGGGCAGAGGCGCCUGGCCUCUGAAAAACGGGCAAUUUUUUUAAAUUAACUGACAACAACACUGUUGCCCUGGCUGCCUAAGUAAAGGCGCCCAUCCUCCCCGGGAGGGCCACGGACCGGGCUAGGGUGUGAUUUGAGUGGCGAACGUGCGCACGGUAAGCUUUGCCCGUGCCAUGCAUGAUGAAGCUACCAAGCCGUAGAGUGUGUCUGCUCACGCUGCGGUAAGGGAAUGUAAAGAACAGACUCCGCCCGAAGAAAGUCCUGUCAAGUUAUUUUCGGACAGGGGUUCGACUCCCC
rnacentral:tmRNA from 1 species